rnacentral:rRNA from 1 species
GACGAACGCUGGCGGCGUGCUUAACACAUGCAAGUCGAACGGUAAGGCCCUUCGGGGGUACACGAGUGGCGAACGGGUGAGUAACACGGGGGUGAUCUGCCCUACACUUCGGGAUAAGGCUGGGAAACUGGGUCUAAUACCGGAUAGGACCACGGCUUGCAGGGGAGGGAGUGGAAAGCGUUUGCGGUGUGGGAUGGGCCCGCGGCCUAUCAGCUUGUUGGUGGGGGGAUGGCAUACCAAGGCGACGACGGGUAGCCGGCCUGAGAGGGUGACCGGCCACACUGGGACUGAGAUACGGCACAGACGCCUACGGGAGGCAGCAGUGGGGAAUAUUGGACAAUGGGCGCAAGCCUGAUGCAGCGACGCCGCGUGAGGGAUGACGGGCUUCGGGUUGUAAACCUCUUUCAGCACCGACGAAGCGCAAGUGACGGUAGGUGCAGAAGAAGGACCGGCCAACUACGUGCCAGCCGCCGCCGUAA